AUUGAACGCUGGCGGAAUGCUUUACACAUGCAAGUCGAACGGCAGCACGGACUUCGGUCUGGUGGCGAGUGGCGAACGGGUGAGUAAUACAUCGGAACGUGCCCAAUCGUGGGGGAUGACGUAGCGAAAGCUACGCUAAUACCGCAUACGAUCUAAGGAUGAAAGCGGGGGAUCGCAAGACCUCGCGCGAUUGGAGCGGCCGAUGGCAGAUGAGGUAGUUGGUAGGGUGAAGGCCUACCAAGCCGACGAUCUGUAGCUGGUCUGAGAGGAUGAUCAGCCCCACUGGGACUGAGACACGGCCCAGACUCCUACGGGAGGCAGCAGUGGGGAAUUUUGGACAAUGGACGCAAGUCUGAUCCAGCCAUUCCGCGUGCAGGAUGAAGGCCCUCGGGUUGUAAACUGCUUUUGUACAGAACGAAAAGGCUCUGGUUAAUACCUAGGGCUCAUGACGGUACUGUAAGAAUAAGCACCGGCUAACUACGUGCCAGCAGCCGCCGUAA
rnacentral:rRNA from 1 species